GCCUGAGUGGCUCAGUCGGUUGAGCGUCUGACUUCAGCUCAGGUCACGAUCUCACGGUUCGUGAGUUCGAGCCCCGCGUCAGGCU
rnacentral:tRNA from 1 species